AGGGCACCACCAGGAGUGGAGCCUGCGGCUUGAUUUGACUCAACACGGGAAAACUUACCCGGCCCGGACACUGGAAGGAUUGACAGAUUGAGAGCUCUUUCUUGAUUCAGUGGGUGGUGGUGCAUGGCCGUUCUUAGUUGGUGGAGCGAUUUGUCUGGUUAAUUCCGAUAACGAACGAGACUCUAGCCUACUAAAUAGACUGUUCGGCUUUAUAGCCGGAAUCACCGGGCAUGUAGCUCUCACGGGUUGCAUGUUCGGCUCUGGUGACGUUGGCAGUGCUUCUUAGAGGGACAGGCGGCGGUCCAGCCGCACGAAACAGAGCAAUAACAGGUCUGUGAUGCCCUUAGAUGUCCGGGGCUGCACGCGCGCUACACUGAAGUGAUCAGCGUGCAAUUUACGUUUGGUGAUCUGUCAAGAUUGCCCAACCCGUUGAGCCUUCUUCGUGAUUGGGAUAGGGGAUUGUAAUUAUUCCCCUUGAACGAGGGAUUCCCAGUAAGCGCAAGUCAUAAGCUUGCGUUG
rnacentral:rRNA from 1 species